CGGGGUGCAGCAGGCGCGAAAACUUUACAAUGCUGGCAACAGCGAUAAGGGGACCUUGAGUGCCAGGAUACAAUCCUGGCUGUCGUGAUGCCUAAAAAGCAUUAUAUAGCAAGGGCCGGGCAAGACCGGUGCCAGCCGCCGCGGUAACACCGGCGGCUCGAGUGGUAACCGCUAUUAUUGGGUCUAAAGGGUCUGUAGCCGGCUUGGUUAGUCUCUUGGGAAAUCCGGCAGCUUAACUGUCGGGCUUUCAGGAGAUACUGCCAGGCUCGAGACCGGGAGAGGUGAGAGGUACUUCAUGGGUAGGGGUGAAAUCUUGUAAUCCUUGAAGGACCACCAGUGGCGAAGGCGUCUCACCAGAACGGAUCUGACGGCAAGGGACGAAAGCUAGGGGCACGAACCGGAUUAGAUACCCGGGUAGUCCUAGCCGUAAACGAUACUCGCUAGGUGUCGGCCACGGUGCGACCGUGGUCGGUGCCGUAGGGAAGCCGUGAAGCGAGCCACCUGGGAAGUACGGCCGCAAGGCUGAAACUUAAAGGAAUUGGCGGGGGAGCACAAGGGCGAUUCGCG
rnacentral:rRNA from 1 species